rnacentral:rRNA from 1 species
UACGUAGGGGGCAAGCGUUGUCCGGAUUCAUUGGGCGUAAAGAGCGUGUAGGCGGCUAGAUAGGUCCGUUGUGAAAACUCGAGGCUCAACCUCGAGACGCCGGUGGAAACCAUCUAGCUAGAGUCCGGAAGAGGAGAGUGGAAUUCCUGGUGUAGCGGUGAAAUGCGCAGAUAUCAGGAAGAACACCCGUGGCGAAGGCGGCUCUCUGGGACGUGACUGACGCUGAGACGCGAAAGCGUGGGGAGCGAACAGG